rnacentral:rRNA from 1 species
AUUGAACGCUGGCGGCAUGCCUUACACAUGCAAGUCGAACGGUAACGCGGGGCAACCUGGCGACGGGUGGCGAACGGGUGAGUAAUGCAUCGGAACGUGCCCAGUAGUGGGGGAUAGCCCGGCGAAAGCCGGAUUAAUACCGCAUACGACCUACGGGUGAAAGCGGGGGACCGUAAGGCCUAGCGCUAUUGGAGCGGUCGAUGUCAGAUUAGUUUGUUGGUGGGGUAAAAGCAUACCAAGCCGACGAUCUGUAGCUGGUCUGAGAGGACGACCAGCCAAACUGGGACUGAGACACGGCCCAGACUCCUACGUGAGGCAGCAGUGGGGAAUCUUGGACAAUGGGGGCAACCCUGUUCCAGCCAUGCCGCGUGCGUGAAGAAGGCCUUCGGGUUGUAAACCGCUUUUGUCAGGGAAGAAACGCUCUGGGCUAAUACCCCGGGGUAAUGACGGUACCUGAAGAAUAAGCACCGGCUAACUACGUGCCAGCCGCCGCGGUAACAC